GGCUCUGAGCUCCUUGGAAGACAAGAAUUUCAUCCUGCAUCUUCAGUACAUAGUGACAAGUCCCACACAUGGGGCAAGUUAGACACUGGAAGCUUUGAGGCUGAGCUACGAGCAGUUACCCUCCUCCACGCAGCACCAGCAGCAUCACCAUACCUACUCUCAGAGUUUCGGUUGCAUGUAGUGAAAGCAGGGAAGUACUUGUAUGGAAGGACUGCGUAAAUGGAGUCCUUAGUCAACGUUGUAGCCGAGAACUCCACGCAGGACAAGACAGAGACUUCCUUGUCAUUUGGUGCUUCUGUCAUGUGUCCACUGUCGUGUCAUCAGCUUCUCAAAGGAUGCCUGGGGUCUGUGGAGAAGUCCCUUAGGGAAGUCUUCAUUCUGAAGAACUAAAACGUCCCCGGAUUCUUCUUCUUGCCUUUGAUUGCUUUGCAGAACUUUGCUGUUGUACAAGGAAUAUUUAUAUGCUGGAUCAUCUUCAAUAUGGCAGAGACUAUAGCAAAUCGAGUGAUAGAAAUAUGAAUAAUAUAAGCAUAUGAUGCCUGCUCUCGAAAAGCUCUUGCUCUUAUGGGAUAAGAUGCAAUAAUCUACAGCACACAUCAUGGUCCUUUGCUCAAUCAGGACCCUAAGGAGAUCAUCAAGUGACCUCAGCCAGAUGUCCUAACAACAGUAAGAUGAUAAGUAGGCAUGGUUUAUUUUUAUUGUUAUUUAAUUUUUGUCUGUAUUUUCUUGAAGUUUUCUUGAUUUCCAGCAUAUCAGAUGUACAGCAAAAUGAUUCAGUUAUCAACAUAAAUAUAUAUGUGUAUAUAUUCAUAUAUUUUCAGAUUAUUUUCCAUCAUAGGAAACUAUAUACAGUCUACUAGGACAGACCACGAUGGGAAAUAAUAUAAAAUAGACUAAAGGUUUUACAAUAGGUUUCAGGGAACACUUGGUAGUAUCUAUAGAUAUUUUUGCUUGUUAUGGCUUGGAGGGUGAAAGUGCUACUGGCAUCUGGUGGGUUGGAACCAUGGAUGCUACUAAACAUUCAUGGCAUAUCACCCAAAAAUAAUCAUCCAGCUCACAGUGUCAGCAGAGCUGAGGUGAGAACCCCUGUUCCACAUGGAACAAUGCAGCAAAUUCAAAGCUUAGAGCAUCAUACCCUUUCAAACCCCAGGGCUGAAGAGUUUCUGGGCUCCCCUCAAACGACCUUGGGGACACAGCCUCCUGCUAGCUGGGGAACUCAUAAACUACACCUUCUCUAGCAUGGACCAGGGGGCUCUUUCUGGCAGUGGAGACCUUUGCUCUGAACCGAGAUUGAAAUCCUGAGAUUCAGCAAGUGGUGAAUUGAAUUUUGAAGAAUGAUGGGUAAGGAGAGGAACAUUCUUCAAAAACAGCAAAAAGGAAUGGCUAUUGCUGCUUUGACCUCAGGAAGACCUGCUUUUCUCUGUCUUCCCAUGGUUCCUCAUCACUGCUUAGAUUAAUUUAGUGUCCUCAUCCGUACUGAAAUAUUAAUAACUAACAUGGUAAAGCCUUUAUACAAUGACUGAUUUUUAGUAACAUUCUUUAUCAUAAAAUAAAAGCUUAAUAUAAAAAAGAUGGGCAGAUAAUGUUUUAAAAGUUAAAAAUCUAAAAGAAGAGGGAAAAAGAAGUUAUAAUUCCACUACGCAGAAAUAACUGCUGAUAAUAGUUUGGCAGGUGUGCAUGUUUGUGUGUAUAAAGGUAACAGUGUAACAUGAACGUUCUCUCAUAUGGAUAAAAUUUUGAAAACCGUGGCAUACUAUUCCAUCUUAUGGCAAUGUUGUUGAUUUUAAGAUUCUUCCAAGUUUUCAUCACUGACUUUGAUGACAUCCACAUCGCUGAUCAGUUGUGAAAAUAAAAGGAGAGAGCAUUUACUCAAAAGACAUGAAUGAGGUAUUUUCUAUGUACCAAACAUUGUGCUAGGUACUUUAAGAGAUGCAUAAAACAUGAUUUUUUUUCUUUUUUUUAAAAGUUUUGUUGAAGUAUAGUUGAUUUACAAGGUGGUGAUGAUUUCUGCUGUACAACAAAGUGAUUCAGUCACACAUGUGUACACAUCCACAGUUUUCAAGAUGAAGCAAAUAGCAGUGAGUGUGGGCAGAGAGAAAAUGAGAAGUUGGUACCCGCUGCCAAGGAGGGCCCUGGGAAUCACCUGCUUCGGUGGUGAACAUAGCAAUGAGACCAUCUGUGGGGUCCUCCCUCUAAUCCAGAAACUUCUUCUCUCACUAAACCCCACUCCCUGCCCAUCCAAAGGUUGUGUGGGCCUCUAAAUCCUUGCACUGAACACUAUCCUACUUGGGUUUUGUACAGUCUUCUAGUGAUGUCAUGUUAAAUGACCAUAGACUGGGUAACUUACAUGACAGAUUUAUUUCUCACAGUUCUGGAAGCUGGGAAGUUCAAGAUCAAUGACUCAGUCAGUUUGGUUCCAAUGAGAUCUUUCCUUCUAGCUUUCAGGCGGCCACCUUCAAUACCAUCAUGAGGGCUCCACCCUCAUGACUUCAUCAAUGCUUAAUUGCUUCCCAAAGACCCCACCACCAAAAUCAUCACUUUGGGAGUUAGGGCUUGAACAUGUAAUUUGGCAGAGGGGGCACAAUUCAGUGCAUAAGCACAGUGUAUUUCUUUUGGGGUCAGUAAAAUCUUAGUUUUAUCAUAUACAAAAAUGCAUUCAUGCUCAGUGGAGACAAUACGCUAUCAAUUUAGUGUCUUUGUUCCCUUUAUCACCUCAUUUAUUGAUAUGGGUCAUGCUAUAUGUGUUAAAUGGAAUAUGUUACGCUUUAACAUUAAUUUACAUGUUUAUGCCACAACAUUUACGAUUUCCUGUUCUACGCUGGUGGCUGUGGCUAGCGGCAGAGAGUAAAUGGUAAAAUGUAACCAAUCCAGAUCUGGGAUCUGACCUUACAGAGCUCAGCGGCGACUGUAAAUUGAAGUUCUUUUCCAAAUUCCCCUAUCAUGCAAAUGCUCUAGUGUAUAUUAUUUACAUCUAACUCUGCACACAACUGGCAUCUUUAAGACUCUUGUGUGCAUGUGUAUCAACAAGCUAGCAUGCACCUUCUAGUUUCUGUCAUGCACUGACGGUCUGUUAAAAUGGUUAAGACAGUCGCUUCCUGGGGAAUGGGAUCCCUGUCACGGGAGUCUUUAUACUCCCUGCACUUUUCACACGCAGUCCAAUGCAUAAUAGACAUUCCAUCAUGUUGACUGAGUAAGUGAUGCCCCCUUUGGUUGUCAUAAUAAGCAUCUGAGGAAGGUUCUGAUAUUCCUGACUCAGUAAGAUCAGGCUGCCGUAACAAAGUACCAUAGACUGGGUGGUCUGAACAGGAGAGAUUCUUUCUCUCGCAGUUCUGGAGACGGAGGUGACAGCAUGGUCUUCUUCUUCUUUUUUUUUUUUUUGGGUCUUUGUGGGCCACGCCUGAGGCACAUGGCGGGAUCCGAGCUGCAUCUGUGACCUACAAUACAGCUCACGGCAACACCAGAUCCUUAAGCCACUGAGCAAGGCCAGGGAUCGAACCUGUGUCCUCAUGGAUACUAGUCAGAUUCGUUUCUGCUGAGCCAUGACAGGAACUCCUUAUUCUUCUGAUGAAGGCCCUCUUCCUGGUUUUUGCCUUUAGCCAUCUUCUCACUGUGUCCUCCCAUGGCAGAGAAGGAGGCAGGAGGAGCUCUGGUGUACUGGGCACUGAUGCUAUUGGAUGGGAGAUCUACUCUUAUGACCUUAUUUAAUCUGAAGUAGUUCAGCAAAGGCCUUACCUUCAGAUAUAAUCACAUAGAGAGUUAAGCCUUCAACGGAGGAAUCUGGGGAGGACACAAACAUUCAGUCCAUAGCAAUUCCCAUUUUACAGAUAGGAAAUCUAGAUGUGACAGGAUGUCACCUGUGCUUUGUCCCGAGGCUGACUCCCUCUGAUUGGUAGUGGCUGCAGGAAUCCUGGGAGGGGCAGGAUCCUGGAGGCAUACCUGGGCUCACAAAAGAGCUGACUGGGCAUGGAUGGGGAAGCAUGUGUGUGUGUGAGCAUGAAGCAAGAACCAUCCACGUGUGCACAAAAUUGCCAUCACUAUGCUUGGCACUACACAGCAUUAGCUUAAUUUUUAAAACUUAUAACCUGCAAGGGAAGCACAUUUUCCCCCCAUUUUACAAGGACUGACUUACAGCUAGAGAAUUUAAAUAUUUUACCAGAGGGCUAUUAAAGGUAGAGCUUCUAU
rnacentral:lncRNA from 1 species